ACGGGAGGCAGCAGUGAGGAAUAUUGGUCAAUGGUCGGAAGACUGAACCAGCCAUGCCGCGUGCAGGAAUAAGGCCCUAUGGGUCGUAAACUGCUUUUGUGGUGGAGCAAUAAGGCGUACGUGUACGUCGAUGAGAGUACAUCACGAAUAAGCAUCGGCUAACUCCGUGCCAGCAGCCGCGGUAAUACGGAGGAUGCGAGCGUUAUCCGGAUUUAUUGGGUUUAAAGGGUGCGUAGGCGGGCUAUUAAGUCAGCGGUCAAAUCGUGUUGCUCAACAAUACUGAGCCGUUGAAACUGGUGGUCUUGAGUGUAAAUGAGGUAGGCGGAAUGUGACGUGUAGCGGUGAAAUGCUUAGAUAUGUCACAGAACCCCGAUUGCGAAGGCAGCUUACCAAGAUACAACUGACGCUGAGGCACGAAAGCGUGGGUAUCAAACAGGAUUAGAUACCCUGGUA
rnacentral:rRNA from 1 species